rnacentral:rRNA from 1 species
UACGUAGGUGGCAAGCGUUGUCCGGAUUUACUGGGCGUAAAGAGCGCGCAGGCGGUCGUUUAAGUCGAAUGUGAAAGCCCACGGCUCAACCGUGGAGGGUCAUUGGAAACUGGGGGACUUGAGUGCAGGAGAGAAGAGUGGAAUUCCACGUGUAGCGGUGAAAUGCGUAGAGAUGUGGAGGAACACCAGUGGCGAAGGCGACUCUUUGGCCUGUAACUGACGCUGGGGCGCGAAAGCGUGGGGAGCAAACAGG